UCGUAUACCGAGGUAGAUGUUUAUACGUAUGCAAAACAGAUAAUCCACGGAGUAUUAUAACUGUGGGAAUAUGUUAUGUAACCAGUGCCGAACAUAUCAUCAUAUCAUAAUUUGUAUGAAGUAAAUGAGUAACUGGACGUAAUUGCGUUGACAGUUAUUUGAAGAACUAUGUAAAUGUAAAAAUGAAUGAAAAUUGACGUUCCUCGAAAACAUGGCAGUAAGCCGGGUUGCUGUUUUAAAAUUAACGUGCCUUCUGUGCACUGUUGUUCAUUGGUUGGUAUCCUGGUUUAGAAUUUAUCGAAACUACACAUAUGCUGAAUCGAGGAAACGCAAUAGCGAUGAUUACAUGUAUGAUAUUUUGCUCUGGUGGUUUUAUGUGCCGUUUCCUGUUAUUGGAACCAUAUUUAUUCCGUUCCAGGUUUUCUAUUUAGUGAAAGAGAUAAGGAACGACUUGAUCUGGUAUAGCAGGUGGUUUGCGAGGGUUUACACCAUGUACGUCACGAUGAUGGUGUUACUUGUGUUGCCAUCCGAUGGACUAAUACUGUUAAUGUACAUAUUUGUAAAGCUACCACUUCAUUGGUUUAUUUUGGACAUUAUUGAUGCCUUUGUUGGGAUUGUUGCAGUUAUGCUAUUGUUAGUUAUUCUGUUUAGACCGUUGUUAUCAGUGUUUCAACACUGCAAAGCUGAAGAAAUUCCAGAAAACUAUGUCUCAUUUGAGAACGCUUCCAACGAACAGCAGCCUGCAUCGGAAGGAGCUGUUCAUCUGACCAUCAACAAUCCGCACAGGCGGCGAAAUGACUGUAGCACAUGCGUAUGCCAUGUAAAAGCGAGCAUGUUGCAACCGAACAGUAGCUUGUUGUUUCGCGGUGCCGUUUUUCUUGUUUUACGUUGUCAUGUUUAUUGCUGAGAUAAAAUGUAUGUCCAAAUAUAAGUCUGUCGGGUUCUGCUUCAAUUAAAAUGAUUUAAAUAUAGCCAUAUACAUUAAGAGGACUGUUGGUUCAAACACAAGUUUGAUAUAAUGUAAUCAAAAUAUUUUACACAUGGUGUAUGUGAAAUCUUAUAGCGACCAUUCUUAUUAGAUUUGUAUUUGUUUUGUAUAAUACGAAUAUUAUUUGCAAUCGCAUCAAGAAAAAUCUUUGUUUAAUAGCUUGAUGUGCAGUUGAUGGAUACUCAGUGCGUAGUGAAGUAAAUAAGAAACCAAAGCAUACAUUCAAUUGCACUUAUGUGUUUAAUACAUAAACAGAAUCCUAAAUGAGUUUGUUUGCAUGGAUUUUCUGAUGUCUACGUAUUGCCAGUUAUUCAACACUCGUAUGUUUGUCAAUUACUGUUAACAAUAUACCUGUAUGUUUUAUUUUAUUGUGUACAUUGUUUUGUUUAUGUAGUCCAAUAUAACCAAGAACAUGUAUAUUCAUGCAUUAAUAAAUAUUUCAUAACUAGACAA